rnacentral:lncRNA from 15 species
GUGUUUUACUAUUUGAUGUUGUUUUGCUGCUUUUAUGUUUUUAUAUAAAGUUUCUUUGAGUACUCAGAGAAACACUUGCAAAUAAAAAAAAAAUUAUAUAUUAUUAUCAGCAACUAUCAACUCCUGUGUGAAGUAGUGGAGCAGUAAAGAUAAAUUACAAAAUAAGGGAAAUUUAAUUUCGCACUGAUCAUCUUACAGAGACACAGUUUUUGUGUCAAUCAGUGUGACCUUAUCAGCUACUUGUUACCUGAUGGAAAUGAUGUCAUUUAGUGAAUAACAGCAGCACAGCAGUGACAAAAGGGAGGGAUUAAGGGAGGAGCAAAACUGAGACUCAAGUACAGAAAAGACAGAAACUUUCACAGUGGUGUUUCAUCCAAAAAACAGACAGAUUGUCUUUAUCUUUAAGAUGCUGUCAGUGAACUUCAGUCUGUUUGUGACUUUGUUUCUGCUCACAAUAAGAGGUGUCAGCUGUGAAGAACUCACUGCAGUCAAGAAACAAGAGCUCAGUUUAGAAGACAGCACUGUUACUCUGUCCUACACAUACUCUAAACAAGCUGAUGUAACUGAUUAUUUCUUCUGGUAUCGACAAUAUCCAGGAAAACCACCACAGUUCCUCAUCUCUCACUCAGGAACAGGAACAUUAAUGUCUAACCCAGUCUCUAGACUGUCAGUUACAGUGAGUGAGGAUAAAACCCAAAUGGAUCUGCAGAUCUCCUCUGCUGCAGUGACAGACUCUGCUCUGUACUACUGUG